rnacentral:rRNA from 1 species
GACAGAGGCCUCAAGCGUUAGGCGGAAUCACUGGGCUUAAAGCGUGUGUAGGCGGCCCGGUAAGUCCGCUGUGAAAGUCGGGGGCUCAACCCUCGAAUGCCGGUGGAUACUGUCGGGCUAGAGUGCGGAAGAGGCGAGUGGAAUUCCUGGUGUAGCGGUGAAAUGCGCAGAUAUCAGGAGGAACACCGAUUGCGAAGGCAGCUCGCUGGGACGUAACUGACGCUGGAGAACGCGAAAGCGUGGGGAGCAAACAGG